AUGGAUCGCCUCACACUUCCCAACAACGUGACUGAAUUUAUUCUCUUGGGACUCACGCAGAAUCCACACUUGCAGAAAAAUACUCUUCGUGGUCUUUUUGUUAAUUUUUCUAUUUACUGUGCUGGCCAAUCUGCUCAUUGUCAUUACCAUCUCCCUCAGCCCCACACUUUCGGCUCCCAUGUAUUUCUUUCUCACUUACUUGUCCUUUAUAGAUGCCUCCUACCUCUAUGACCACCCCAAAAUGAUCAUCGGCCUGCUGUACCAGAGGAGAACCAUCUCCUUCGGUGGCUGCCUGACUCAGCUCUUCGUGGAGCACUUCCUGGGAGGAUCAGAGAUCAUCCUCCUCAUUGUCAUGGCCUAUGAUCGCUAUGUAGCCAUCGGCAAGCCCCUGCACUACACGACAGUCAUGCGACAGGGGCUCUGCCACCUCCUGGUAGUGGUGGCCUGGAUAGGGGGGAUCCUGCAUGCCACUGUGCAGAUCCUUUUCAUGGUCAACUUGCCCUUCUGUGGUCCAAAUGUUAUUGACCACUUCAUGUGUGAUCUCUUCCCUCUGCUGAAACUUGCCUGCAGCAACACCUACGGUUUUGGAAUGAUGGUGGCGGCCAACAGUGGGGCCAUGUGCUUGCUCAUUUUUUCCAUGCUACUCAUCUCCUACGUAGUCAUCCUGAGCUCCCUGAAAUCCCAUGGCUCUGAAGGUCGGCACAAAGCCCUCUCAACAUGUGGCUCCCACUUUACUGUAGUUGUACUCUUUUUUGUGCCUUGUAUAUUCACCUAUAUGCGUCCUGUGGUCACCUACCCUGUGGACAAGUUGGUGACUGUCUUCUUUGCAAUCCUCACUCCCAUGUUAAAUCCUAUUAUUUACACCCUGAGAAACACAGAGGUGAAAAAUGCCAUGAGGAGUUUGUUGAAGAGGAUAACUUAG